CCAGGAGUUCGGGGAGUGGAGAAGCUGACCCUCCUUUCUUUACUGACUUCAGCCUUUUCUAGAGGAAUGCAGUUAAGUAAACCUUGGAAGCAGAGGACCGCCAGGCAGUGUAGGUUCCUCCAGUGAAAAAAUACAAUAGGAAAAAGAAAAAAAGGGGAGAGGGCUCUUGAGAACUGCAUUGUUUGCUCCCUGUGCUCAGGAAUGCUGUAGGCUUCUAAGUCUCGUUUCUAGGGAGGAGCAAUCGGAAUUCUAGAAGGCGGCUCAGUGCCGUGCGAUGCAGUAUCUCGGCGUCAGCGAUACGUGUCAGGAAAGCUGCCUCGCCGCCUGUUUCAGAAGCACUAAUAAAGAACCUUAGUAACUUGACUCUCAACCCUAGUACCAAAUUCCCUCCCCUUCUACCAGAACAUCCAUCCCAACAGCCUGACAGAGAAAAGAAAUUCCAAGGGUUAAGUGAUGACAUACCCUACCGGAGAAGGGGAGUAAGGACACUGCUAACUGUUCGGAAAGAAAGGAUGCAAAGGAUGAUACAAAUUAUUAAAUACCGCUACUCCGGCCAACUUCCUGUGCUUCAAAGAGAAUCACGACAGAAGGAAAUUGAGGUUGAAUCAAGAAUUCAAAGAUUUAGAUGUAGCUGUCAUUAUUGCCUGUAUCAUAGAGAUGUUUCUGAGAAUACGGAGAACAACUAUGACACAGAGUCGACUGAGCCAUAAACCUUAAUUCUUGCUAGUAAUUUUAGGAUGAUUACGCUCGGAUGGACUGUAGACCAGUAUUUUGAUGACCUGUGAUAGAAAUUCUGUGAUGUCGUCUUUUCUUGCAUCUCUUUUCUACCUUUAUACCAGUAAUUUAUAAGGAAUCUAUGUAGUUUGCAUCUGAAUGACUUCAAUAUACUUUAAGUUCUUGAUUUCACCUAGAGAAGCACUAAUAUGUCUCAAGUAUUGUGCGUGUUUUAGCAGCCUGUGGUCAGUCAGAUGAAACCCAACAUGAAGAAUUUGAAGCAAAAUAACUUGUGUAGAAAGAAUGUAAAGAAAACAUUGGGUGAUUUGGCUAGAGCAUGAUUAGAGCAGGGUGCAUUAAUUAGAUUUUCUAGUUUUCAAAAAUUUGAAUUGUGAUAAUUUUUUGUGCUAUUUCAAUUUUCAGUAGCAAAUAAUGUGUGUAUAGAGGAUCUUAAUAAAAUUGAUAUAUUUGAGUACCUUUUAAAAA